UCCCCGUUAUCCGGGGCGGUUUCACUAGAGUGCCCAGCUUGACCUGAUGGCAACUAGGGAUAAGGGUUGCGCUCGUUGCGGGACUUAACCCAACAUCUCACGACACGAGCUGACGACAGCCAUGCAGCACCUGUGUCCAGGUUCCCUUUCGGGCACACUCCCAUCUCAGGGAUUCCAGCCAUGUCAAGGGUAGGUAAGGUUUUUCGCGUUGCAUCGAAUUAAUCCACAUCAUCCACCGCUUGUGCGGGUCCCCGUCAAUUCCUUUGAGUUUUAAUCUUGCGACCGUACUCCCCAGGCGGUCAACUUCACGCGUUAGCUGCGUUAUCAAGUCAAUUAAGACCCGACAACUAGUUGACAUCGUUUAGGGCGUGGACUAC
rnacentral:misc_RNA from 1 species